AAACCAGAUACACUCAAACUAAUAGAAGAAAAAGUGGGGAAGAAUCUCGAACACAUGGGCACUGGAGGAAAUUUCCUGAACAAAACACCAAUGGCUUAUGCUCUAAGAUCAAGAAUCGACAAAUGGGAUCUCAUAAAACUACAAAGCUCUGUAAGGCAAAGGACACUGUUGUUAGGACAAAACAGCAAUCAACAGAUUGGGAAAAGAUCUUUACCAA
rnacentral:lncRNA from 1 species